rnacentral:rRNA from 1 species
ACCUACGGGAGGCAGCAGUGAGGAACAUUGGUCAAUGGUCGGGAGACUGAACCAGCCAAGCCGCGUGAGGGAUGAAGGUACAGAGUAUCGUAAACCUCUUUUGUCAGGGAACAAAGGCGGGGACGUGUCCCCGGAUGAGUGUACCUGAAGAAAAAGCAUCGGCUAACUCCGUGCCAGCAGCCGCGGUAAUACGGAGGAUGCGAGCGUUAUCCGGAUUUAUUGGGUUUAAAGGGUGCGCAGGCAGUCUGUUAAGUCAGCGGUCAAAGCCCGGGGCUCAACCCCGGCCCGCCGUUGAAACUGGCAGU